rnacentral:lncRNA from 1 species
GCGGAAUAAUUCUUGAUAUUAUCUUGGAAUUCCUAGAGCUAUUUAUCGGAGGAGGAUGUACUCGCAUAACACAAUGACUGUCACGAUGCUUUCCUACCGGAGAAAGAUGCACACAUUUGAGUAUUUCUGUUAGCCAUCAUGGUAAACAAAUGUUUGUUGUUUCCUUUGUUUAUUUCCAUUGGCAAAACAUUGCUUAUCAAUGAUUGGAACUAUGCUUCCAGCAGUAUCACUUGCCAUGAUGAGCUACACCAUUGAUUCUCAUUUUGUGUACUUAUCAAGGCUGCUAUCUGAUUUUUUCACUUCCCUUUUGUAGUCUUUUGUAUGCCUUGCUUUUGGUACUAUACUCUCCAGCUGCCUUUUGUAGUGUGCUACUUGGUUUUCGGUCCCUUUCUUUGUAAAUGACUUGCCCUAAUUAUUACCAAUGAUAUUUAGACUUGUGGGAUGUGUUGCUUUGUAUAUGAACAACUUGCUGUAAUCCCGAUCCUGUAUCAUUCCUUUUUACUCAUAUAGGUUUUGUUUUCUACAACCUCUGUUUGCAUUACAACUUCGAAAUAUAUAGGAUGUGGUAUGAUUACAAUUACGAUUAGCACUGAUUGCGUGGGUAUGGCAAAGGCGACAACAAUUUUUAGUAUCACCCUUUUUUGAUUUUUAUGUCAUGUUGAUUACAUCCGGUCAUUGCAUUCACUGGGAGGAGACAUUGCGCUAUGCAUGACACCCAGUCUGGCCAGCCUUUGCAACUGUCAGCAACCUAUUUGUUCUUCUCCUUAGCCAGACCCGAUUCUUCGACUGGUUUAACUUGCAUAGUAGUUCUGUUUAGAUUACAGUUUUAGAUUCCUCCACUCUUUGCUAUGAUUAGGUUAAUUUCUAACAAAUGGGAUGAUGAUCAGGAUGAAUACUAUUUUGGUAUUGCUACCAUUAUGGUUCCACUCAUGAAUAAUUGAAAAUAACGGGAUGAUCCAUCGCAAGCAAUCAUUCUAAUUCCUAUUUGGCAACCUUGAAUACCCCGAUGUGUUUCGAUUUGGUAGGCUUGGUUCCCUCCCUGAUUGUGUGCAUCAUCAUGGUGUUUGCUUGUUGUUCUAAAGUUUCAACUGUAUGGCUACUAUUGGGUUGGCUUCUUAUAAGUUAUGGGAGAGAGUGAGAGUGUGGGCUUGGUCAGGGAGAUCUCUUUUAUUUAUUUGCUGGUACCUGAUAGUUUUUCAUGUUCCCUUGUGAGAUCUUAGUGAAAAUAAUGAUUUUAUUUGCUGUGCGGGCGGGCGGGUGCAGAGAAGAAGAACCUCAACUCGGAGCUCUUGUUUCUUCUUAGUAUAUAUGUACAAAUUAUAAAUAUAAUAAAUAUAUGUGUCCUUUUUUCCUCUUUCUCUCCUCUGGUUUUACCGCCAAACUGGGUGGCCUUGAUGAAUGAUGUUGGCUUAUUUUAGAGAAAAUCUUUCUAAAUAAAUACUUGAUAAAUGAUGUUGGUUUAUUUUAGAGAGAAUCUUUCUAAGUAAAUAUACACUGAAGAGAGGUUUCAAUUUCCUAAUAGUACAUGUUCAAAUUGUUGUUGUAUGUGACCUUAGAUAGAAGGAUGUGCACUUGUGAUUAUCCCUUUCCCUUUUUGUAUCAGAGCUUUGUGCCAAAAAACUGCUUUGGUGCCGAGACAAUUACCUUGCAACAUUAAUCUUGGCUGAAAUUGUGCACCUUUACUAGAUCAAUCAUGUUUGUCAGUGUUAAAUAAUUAGGCACAUAAUAAGAUGAGAUCAUAGUGUAAUCAAGUUUUGUGCCUAAAGAAAAUCUUGGAGGAUAUCUAUGUAUAGUAGGCUUAUUAUGUUUUCUGGGUGCCUUGUGGAAUACUAAGAUAAAAUAAAUUUAAUUUCAUUUUUAUAUUCUUUUAUGUUAAAGAGGCUACAUUGUAUCCAGAUCACUUAAUAUUAUCCAAAGUGAUUCUCUUUCAUACAGACCAAAUUAGUUCCUCGCUGUCCAUGAGACACACUAUUUGAAUAUUUUGCCUAACAUGACAUGUCCUUUAGCAGAUCCAUGCGUUGAAACAUGCAAGCAAAUCAAAUGAAGGAGUGUGGACAAAGUUAUAUAUCAAGCAAAUCGGAUGAAGGCGUGUGGACAAAGUUAUAUAUCUAACAGUCAACCAUGUAGUUUACUAUUAUGCAGUAUGAAAAAUAGUGUAAACAAGUUAUCUGAGACUAAUACUGCUACGGCCUGCUUUUGGUUUCUAUCAUACCAAACCUUGCUUAGGUAUUUCAUGUCACAUUUUAUAACAAAUGCGCUGAUGGCAUGUAGAUAGGGCCAUUUUUUAGAUAUUUUACAGGAUGAUUACUGUUGUGAGUAUCUACCAACACCUACUCUUUGAGUAAUAUCAGAUAUAUUUCUAUCCUGAGAUAUAGAGUAAUAUCAGAUGUUAAUCGGAAAAGAGUUAUAUCAGGGGUUUGAUCAUUGAACUUUUUUUAUUCCAUCCUGAUUAAGUUGUCCUGUACAUGUGUUAAACUUGCCUUUCUAC